rnacentral:rRNA from 1 species
GACGGAAGGUGCAAGCGUUGCUCGGAAUCACUGGGCGUAAAGGGUGCGUAGGCGGCCGUGCAAGUCUGGCGUGAAAGCCCCGGGCUCAGCCCGGGAAGUGCGCUCGAAACUGCGCGGCUCGAGUGCCGGAGGGGAGAGUGGAAUUCCUGGUGUAGCGGUGAAAUGCGCAGAUAUCGGGAGGAACACCAGCGGCGAAGGCGGCACUCUGGGCUGGUACUGACGCUGAGGAGCGAAAGCGUGGGUAGCAAACAGG